rnacentral:rRNA from 1 species
CAAUAGCGCAUAUUAAAGUUGUUGCAGUUAAAAAGCUCGUAGUUGGAUUUGUGGCGUGCGGUGGGUUCCGGGCACUUGUUGUCUGAGUAACUUGCUGUUGCCAUCCUUGGGUGGAACCUGUGUGGCAUUAGGUUGUCGUGCAGGGGAUGCCCAUCAUUUACUGUGAAAAAAUUAGAGUGUUCAAAGCAGGCUUAUGCCGUUGAAUGUGUUAGCAUGGAAUGAUGAGAUAGGACUUUUUUGCUAUUUUGUUGGUUUGCGCAAAGAGGUAAUGAUUAACAGGGACAGUUGGGGGCAUUCGUAUUCCAUUGUCAGAGGUGAAAUUCUUGGAUUUUUGGAAGACGAACUACUGCGAAAGCAUUUACCAAGGAUGUUUUCAUUAA